rnacentral:misc_RNA from 1 species
GAAAUGCGAUAAGUAAUGUGAAUUGCAGAAUUCAGUGAAUCAUCGAAUCUUUGAACGCACCUUGCGCUCCUUGGUAUUCCUUGGAGCAUGCCUGUUUGAGUGUCAUGAAAUCUUCAAAGUAAAUCUUUUGUUAACUCAAUUGGUUUCUACUUUGGUAUUGGAGGUCUUUGCAGCUUCACACCUGCUCCUCUUUGUUCAUUAGCUGGAUCUCAGUGUUAUGCUUGGUUCCACUCGGCGUGAUAAGUUAUCUAUCGCUGAGGACACUGUAAAAGGUGGCCAAGGUAAAUGCAGAUGAACCGCUUCUAAUAGUCCAUUGACUUGGACAAUACUUUUAUGAUCUGAUCUCAAAUCAGGUAGGACUACCCGCUGAACUUAAGC